UCUUGGGUCCCUGGUGCCCUCUGAGAGCCUGAAUAUCAGUAAAUGAGGUUUCCUGAGAACCACUGCUGUUCUUCCCACACCCCUGCACCUAUCUGGAUCCUCUCCGGGCCCCACCCAGCUCACAUGGGGCUCUGAACUCACCAGAACUGUAGGGAUCACCAGGGACAGACAUGCAGAAGGCAGAGCCUGGGGUGCUGUAGGCUACAGGGAACCUGAGCAUCUGAAAGACCCUGAACACCUGGGGCACCUGGUGUACCUGGGCCCUGGAGCACCUGGGUAUCUGGAAGUGCAAGGAGUGCCACAAUAUGCAAAUGAUAUUCUGGGCAGCAGACACAGCAGAGGAGGUCAGGACCCCACAGGCUGGAGGAGGCAGCCUCAGCAGGGGCUGGGGUGGCUUCCCUGGGGCCCAGCACUGCAGGGCAGUUUCUGGUCCUCAGUGAAUUUAGGUUCCGGAGGCUGAGUGUCCCCCCAGCACACCCUCCUCCGGGGGCAUGCUGGCGGGUCCUGCUGGUGGGCGGGAACUCAAGCACGGCCUCCUACCUGCAGAAGGUUUGGGUUCAAGCUGCCCUUGGUUCCAACCCAGCCCCACCCAUGGACCCCCAGCAUCCCUGCAGCCUCCGUCCUGAGAGCUGCCCAGCACAGACCCUCCCCUGGCACCCACUGGGUCUGAGCAGCCAGUCGAAGAGCCCCAGGACUUGAGGACAUCCCUGUCAGCCCCUCCCCAAGGACGUAUCUGAGAAAGGGUCUGGGGUAACCCCAAGCUGAAUCACCUUCUCGGGAAAGCACCUCGAUUCCUGAAGCUUCCUGGAAAUGACCAGCCUGGGCACAGCUACCUGUUGGGGUCCAGGGCCCUGACAAACACCUCAGGGGCCAGCCAAAAGGAAAACCCCUUCCUGACCUCAGAGCUCAGCUCAGAAUGGAGAGGCGCGUCUGUGUCCUGAAUGUCCAGGAAACCAGGUGGCUAGGGACUGGGGGCAGGAGUGACGGCCCCAGGCCCUGGUCAAGCCCCUGGUGGACUGGCAUCAUGGACCUAUCUACUCAGCGGCUGGGCUUGCUCAGGCCUCCCGUCUAAAACCUGUGGCGGCAGCCUCUGCACUCCCGCACCCUGGGGUCUCCACCUGGCCCUCCGGCCGCAGGUCUUGUGCCCGCAGCCCCACACCCGCCCUGUGCACCUGAGCUCUCAGGAAUCCCAGAGUGCUGUCACCCGACGGUCCACCCACGAGGAGUUUCCACGCUGAAUCAACACUGAGUCACAAGGCCCCUUGGGACCUGAGCGUGGGCGGCGAAGGCCCACGGACCUGACUCCCAGUCCCACCAAGGCAGCUGUGAGCACCCCAUGUGCCCAGCCUGUGGGGGUGGGGCAGUCAGGUGACCCAGGUGAGAACAAGUCCCAAGGAGAGCCGGCCUUCCCAAGUGGGGCCAGGUAGGGGGUUGGCCAGACUGCCCAUCGGGACUGGGUGGCAGUGAAGAUCAAUGAGUCAACUCGGGGGCUCUCCAGGGCCGCAUGCAGGUGGGAGGGUGCAUGGGCACUCCGGCACUGGGGCUGCAGGAGGGACGCCAGGUAUGCUAGCACCCGGAGGCCGCUGCUGCUGAGACAUGUCUCCACAGGCCCACCUGCCUGCCCUGCAUAGCCCUGGGUGCCAGCCCUGCCAGGAGGCUGGGAGCCCGCUGCUCACCUCCACUGGGCAGGACCCAAGAACCACGCCCUGAGGGAGGGGGGGCGAGCUUGGAGAGAGGUGGGGGCUAAGAGCGGACCAUUCAGAGGCUGUCUCCCACCACCAGGAAGUGCUGGGUAUAGAGACUGGCCUUCCCCGGGACUGCGGCCUGAGUGACACUAGGGGAACUGGCAGCUGCAGGCGUCCUCGGCCGCCGGCGGUGCCUCCGGGAGCAGCUGGACCUCUGCGGAGGGGCUGCAGUCAGCAGGCAGGCUGGGGGCCGGCGCCCCCACCCCAGGGCUCAACUGACCUGGAGGCCAUGCUUGCGGCCUCUUCAGCUGCCAGAUGUGCAGGCCAAGCUGGGUGGCGGUCAGAACCAGGACGCAGGCCACCAUGGGAACAUGGUGGGGAACCCAAAGCGGGAGCAGCUGGGACACAAGACACGGAGCCAGGUCAGCCCCACCCUCCAAGCAGGCCCUGCACACAGCCGCUCUCCCCCAGCUGUCUGGGGGCGCCAUACCAGAAGGGUCAGGAGAGGCCCUGCCCUGAACAGCCCAGCCCCCUGGAGGGCCCAGGACUCACUCUGCCCAAGGUUUGCAGCGGCCUUCGUGGCCCUCAGAGAAGGUCCCUGUGGCACAGUCCACACACUCGAAGCCGAAACUGAACUUCCCUGGAGACAGACAGGCAGACAGGCUGCGGGGUGGCUGGGGGUGCAGUGGGGGCCAUCUGGGGCCCAGGCCCGCCGGAGAAUGACCACACACACCUCAUCCGCUUGA